rnacentral:rRNA from 1 species
GAUGAACGCUGGCGGCGUGCUUAACACAUGCAAGUCGAGCGGAGAUAAGAUAAAGGCUUGCUUUUAACUUAUCUUAGCGGCGGACGGGUGAGUAACGUGUGGGCAACCUGCCUCAUACAGAGGGAUAAUCAUGUGAAAACGUGACUAAUACCUCAUGUCAUUGCCGGAAGGCAUCUUCAGGCAAGAAAAGGAGUAAUCCGGUAUGAGAUGGGCCCGCAUCUGAUUAGCUAGUUGGUGAGAUAAUAGCCCACCAAGGCAACGAUCAGUAGCCGACCUGAGAGGGUGAUCGGCACAUUGGGACUGAGGCACGGCCAAACUCUACGGGAGCAGCAGUGGGAAUAUGCACAUGGGGAACCUGAUGCAGCAACGCCGCGUGAAGGAAGACGGUUUU